rnacentral:rRNA from 1 species
CCCUUAGACACUCUAGGCGGCACGCGCGCUACAAUGGGUGGAAGACCGUGUUACUGCCUUCGAAAGAAGGGGUGAAUCACGAAUUCUUACCCGUGAAUGGGAUAGUUUGUUGCAAUUUUCGGACUUGAACUAGGAAUCCCUUGUAAGCAUGCUCAAGAAUAGCGUGUUGAAUACGUCCCUGCCGUUUGUACACACCGCCCGUCGUUUCUUCCGACUGAUACUCAUUGUGAGUUGCAAGGACGCUUCAUUGUAAAAUUGCUGCGAAUGCUUUGUAUUGGAGGAAGAAAAAGUCGUAACA